rnacentral:rRNA from 1 species
GGGUUCUACCGUUGGUCGGGCUAACCAGUCUGUACUAGCGUGUAGAAUUUCUACCUUCUGGGGAACCAUCAUGUUAUUAAUUUAGCGUGGUGGGAAACCAGGACCUUUACCUUGAAAAAUUAGAGUGUUCAAAGCAGGCUUACGUCUGAAUACAUUAGCAUGGAAUAAUAAAAUAGGACGGUGGUCCUGUUUUGUUGGUUUCUGAAUCACCGUAAUGAUU